GGGCCUGUAGCUCAGCAAGGCAGAGCAUCGGCCUUUUAAGCCGUUGGCCAGGGGUUCGAAUCCCCUCAGGCCCGCCA
rnacentral:tRNA from 1 species